rnacentral:lncRNA from 1 species
UAUAGUACGGUCACAAAGGAGAUAAGAAAGAUGACACACACUACAACAGAAUUUGGUUAUAGGGACGCAUGUUUGGAACACUUUUGUGUAAGUGUCUCAUUUAUACCAAAACUUGAAAAAAAAUCUACUAAUGCCUAAAUAUAAAGUCCAAUCCAAUCAAAAAUAAAAGAUUACUCUACUCAACCCACCCCACCCAGCCAAUUCGGCCCAAUUACAAACAGAAAAGAAAAAAAAAAAAAAAAAAGAAAAAUCGAUUACCAUCUCCUCUUCUCUCCUCACUCAAUCCACUGAAAUUCUAGACGAAGGUCCCUUCCUCUCGUCCUCCUCCACCACCGCAGCCAACGAGGUAGAGUUCCAGCGGUUGCUAAAUGAUUAAAUAAGUGUUGGUAAAUUAGCAGCACUCUUUUAGGUUAUAGCGACACUCUUUAACUGUCACUAUAUACCUAGCGACCCCACAUAUAGCAACACUUUUUAAAAGUAUCGGUAAUUUAGCCAGCAGCACUUUUUUUUAUCUAUACCGAUAUUUAAAAGUAUCGCUAUAGACCGUUUUUGUUGUAGUGACAAAUCUAAACAAAUUUUUUCAUUAAACGAAAAACUCUUCCCCAACAAUAGACAUCAAGCCUGUUGAUAAUAAUAAGUUCUAAUUCAAAUUUUAAUCAAUUCUCAUGAUUUUAAAAAUUUUCCUAAUAGGAAUAAAUGUCACUCUUAUUUCUAACUUACAAAAGCAUAUCCCUAAUUUUUAGGAACUUAUGCAAUAUAAAGAGCUAGAUCUUAAGAAUCACAAAAACAAAUUGAUUAAAAUAAAAAAAAUUAAAAUUAAGAAAAUAAAUUUUUAAAUUCUUGUUGAUUUUUCGGUUGCAUCAUUCUCUUCUACUGUGAAGAUCUCAUCUCGAUAUCAACUCAAAUGUCUUCUUAGCUUGGAUCGAACUCUGAAAUUUCGACAAUGUGAUGAUUCAUUCUGAGCCAAACCGAUCCAAUCUCAUUAUAAGGUUUUUGAAAAUUUCAAAUAUUGAACUCCAUACUGAAAUUCCAUUCAUCUGCAUUAGUCUUGACAACUGCUUGCCAAUCUGAGUUAUGUUAUCUUGGACUAAAAUCUUCUUGAUAUUUUGUGGUAGAAUUGAAAUCCUCUCUACUGCUAGUGUAAUAUACUGAAUUUCGGUAUGAUGUACUAAACUUUAGCUAAAUCGAUAAAGUGCAGUUAAAAUAGGAUGAUAUACUAUUUUAAAGAAUUUAGAGCAGUUUUAAAUAAGUUGGAGUUGAAUUAGAUCAAAAUUGGCGGGAAAACGAAGUUUCGAAAAGCUAUCAUGUAUCCCUAGCGUGCCGUCAAGUACCCUUAGCAUGUGGAGUACUCAAAGAGAAGUUUCGAAACUUCACACAGCCAACGGAGCCACAACCUUCGAUAUCUAAGGAGCCUAGACUAGUGUAUCAGCACUUGAGGUCGAGUACCGGUACUUAACAGUGAGUACUGAAACUCCGAAGUUGUGAACAGUGCCCAAAACUCUCGGGUUUUGUGGAAGUUUAAUUUUGGAAGUACCGGAACUACCGAGGACUGAUUUAAGCUAAAUUGUACUAUUUUGCAAUUCCUUCUAGUUGAGGGGCUUCUAUGCAAUUGUUGGGGCUUAUAAAUACCCCAUAAAUGUCCAACUCGUCAUUUACAACUCCACCAAGAUAAAAAAGCUCUCUCUCUCUCUCUCUCUCUCUCUCUCUCUCUCUCUCCCCUUCUCUCUCUUUCUUUUAUUCUCUCUUUCUCUCUCUCUCUCUCAAAUCUUGAUUGCUCUCUCAAUCUCUAACAUUUGCUCAUAAACAUAUCAAAAUAUAUCUUGUACAUCUUUCUU